rnacentral:rRNA from 1 species
GAUGAACGCUGGCGGCGUGCCUAAUACAUGCAAGUCGAGCGAACAGACGAGGAGCUUGCUCCUCUGACGUUAGCGGCGGACGGGUGAGUAACACGUGGAUAACCUACCUAUAAGACUGGGAUAACUUCGGGAAACCGGAGCUAAUACCGGAUAAUAUAUUGAACCGCAUGGUUCAAUAGUGAAAGACGGUUUUGCUGUCACUUAUAGAUGGAUCCGCGCCGCAUUAGCUAGUUGGUAAGGUAACGGCUUACCAAGGCAACGAUGCGUAGCCGACCUGAGAGGGUGAUCGGCCACACUGGAACUGAGACACGGUCCAGACUCCUACGGGAGGCAGCAGUAGGGAACCUUCCGCAAUGGGCGAAAGCCUGACGGAGCAACGCCGCGUGAGUGAUGAAGGUCUUCGGAUCGUAAAACUCCGUUAUUAGGGAAGAACAAAUGUGUAAGUAACUAUGCACGUCUUGACGGUACCUAAUCAGAAAGCCACGGCUAACUACGUG